rnacentral:precursor_RNA from 15 species
GCUCCCCGUGUGCUUGCAUUGCUAAACAUGGUAAGAUAGAUUAGUGCUUUCAAUUAUUUCAAACGAAAGCUCUAUUCUCUCUUACAGAUAUUGAGAUCACGCAAAACAAGAUGAAAG